CUCGGCACUUUCUGGCCGUUUCGUAAGCGGGGAGAAGGAAGGAAAAGAGGGGAAAAAAGAAGGGAGCACGCUAGAAUCUGUGCAAAACAUCAGACCUAGGCCAUGGAUGGCGAUAAGCUCGACCAGUUGAAGCAAUUCAUCGAACAGUGCAAAGCUGAUCCAUCCAUUCUCAGCAAUCCUACGCUUUCCUUUUUCCGCGACUACUUGGAGAGUCUGGGUGCUGAUCUUCCUCCUUCUGCUUACAAGAGUGGAGAUUCGAAAUCGAAAAACUAUGUGGUGGAGGAGAGCGACGAGGAAAUGGCGGACCUCCAAGACGCGCAAGAGGAAGGGGACGACAGCGAUAUAGUCGAGUCCGAUGUUGAGCUCGAAGGCGAUACUGUUGAUCCUGAUAAUGAUCCGCCGCAAAAGAUGGGGGACCCAACAGUGGAGGUUUCGGAAGAAAAUCGUGAUGCUUCUCAAAUGGCAAAAGGGCAAGCCAUGGAAGCUAUUUCCGAAGGUAAGUUGGAGGAAGCAAUUGGGCAUCUGACUGAGGCAAUUUUGCUCAACCCAACAUCAGCAAUUAUGUAUGGAACCAGAGCUAGUGUGUACAUCAAAAUGAAGAAGCCCAAUGCCGCUAUCCGGGAUGCCAAUGCAGCUUUAGAGAUUAAUCCAGAUUCUGCUAAAGGGUACAAGUCCCGUGGCAUAGCAAGAGCAAUGCUCGGCCAGUGGGAAGAGGCGGCAAAGGAUCUCCACUUGGCGUCAAAGUUAGAUUAUGACGAGGAGAUAAGUGCUGUACUUAAGAAGGUUGAGCCUAAUGCACACAGGAUCGAGGAACACCGUAGGAAGUAUGAAAGGUUGCGCAAAGAAAAAGAGGACAAGAAGAUUGAACGUGAGAGACAACGUCGACGGGCUCAAGCUCAGGCUGCAUAUGAGAAGGCUAAGAAGCAAGAGCAGUCAUCAUCCAGUAGAACUCAUGAAGGCAUGCCGGAAGGUUUUCCUGGGGGAAUGCCGGAAGGUUUUCCUGGGGGAAUGCCAGAAGGUUUUCCUGGGGGAAUGCCUGGAGGUUUUCCUGGGGGAAUGCCUGGCGGCUUUCCUGGGGGAAUGCCAGGAGGCUUUCCUGGGGGAAUGCCAGGAGGCUUUCCUGGGGGUAUGCCUGGAGGAUCCCCUGGUGGCAUGCCAGGGGGGAUGCCUGGAAACGUUGAUUAUAGCAAAAUAUUGAAUGAUCCUGAACUGAUGGCAGCAUUCAAAGAUCCAGAAGUGAUGUCAGCUCUUCAAGAUGUGAUGAAGAAUCCUGCCAAUCUUGCAAAGCAUCAAGGAAACCCCAAGGUGGCUCCAGUAAUUGCAAAGAUGAUGGCAAAAUUUGCUGGGCCAAAGUAGACAGUUUUAACAUCCCCAUCACAUUUGAGGGAGUUCACAUUGUUCAGUUUAUCAUGCUUUACAUGAUUGGCUAUCUUAUGUACUUGUUUUUCAUCUUAUAGAGUGAAAGGAUUUAUUUUGGCUGAGGAACUUUUCUGGCUUUAAAUAUAUGGCUAAGGCUUUUCCAUUGAUGUUUCAAGAUUGGAAUUAAACGGAUUUCUCUAUGGUACCAUGGAGAAGAGUGGCACUCAAUCAAAAAUGUUCUUGUGGUUAAAAUAAGUUUCAUUUCUUUGUACUAUGCAAUGGUCGCAUUUCGUUA